UGGGGAAUAUUGCACAAUGGGCGCAAGCCUGAUGCAGCCAUGCCGCGUGUAUGAAGAAGGCCUUCGGGUUGUAAAGUACUUUCAGCGGGGAGGAAGGCGAUAAGGUUAAUAACCUUGUCGAUUGACGUUACCCGCAGAAGAAGCACCGGCUAACUCCGUGCCAGCAGCCGCGGUACUACGGAGGGUGCAAGCGUUAAUAGGAAUUACUGGGCGUAAAGCGCACGCAGGCGGUCUGUCAAGUCGGAUGUGAAAUCCCCGGGCUCAACCUGGGAACUGCAUUCGAAACUGGCAGGCUAGAGUCUUGUAGAGGGGGGUAGAAUUCCAGGUGUAGCGGUGAAAUGCGUAGAGAUCUGGAGGAAUACCGGUGGCGAAGGCGGCCCCCUGGACAAAGACUGACGCUCAGGUGCGAAAGCGUGGGGAGCAAACA
rnacentral:rRNA from 1 species